rnacentral:rRNA from 1 species
AAGUCGUAACAAGGUUUCCGUAGGUGAACCUGCGGAAGGAUCAUUAUUAGAAUUCCGGGGUCAUCAAGGGCUCCGAUGCAAACACAUACCUGUGUAUUCUUCCGUGUUGCUUCCCCAGAUCAGUGGCUGAGCCAUCUGGGGGAGGGUCUAUAAUCAAACCUUUAACUAAUCUGUUGUCUGAGAAGGCCUUGUGCCGUAAUCUUGAAACAUGUUAAAACUUUCAACAACGGAUCUCUUGGCUCUCGCAUCGAUGAAGAACGCAGCGAAAUGCGAUAAGUAAUGUGAAUUGCAGAAUUCAGUGAAUCAUCGAAUCUUUGAACGCACAUUGCGCCCUUUGGCAUUCCUCAGGGCAUGCCUGUUCGAGCGUCACUAACAACCAUUUCGCAUCUAAUGCGGUAUUGGCAGAUGUGGGUGGCACUUGCGGUGCCUCUCCCACUCAGCUGAAAUGGAUAGGCCAGAGAAGCAAACCAUGGCAACAGACUCACAGAGUGUUAUAAAAUGCUAGACUAGUCUGAAGCAGGUUGAAAUCUGUGCCAUUGGACCCCCCGUUCAUCAAAACUAUAGAUGUGACCUC